AAUGGGGGAAGCCCUGACCCAGCAACGCCGCGUGAGUGAAGAAGGCCUUCGGGUUGUAAAGCUCUGUCGCAGGGGAAGAAAAAAAUGACGGUACCCUGUGAGGAAGCCCCGGCUAACUACGUGCCAGCAGCCGCGGUAAUACGUAGGGGGCGAGCGUUGUCCGGAAUUACUGGGCGUAAAGGGUGCGUAGGCGGCAUGUUAAGUUGGAUGUGAAAUACCCGGGCUCAACCUGGGGGGUGCAUUCAAAACUGGCAAGCUAGAGUGCAGGAGAGGGAAGCGGAAUUCCUAGUGUAGCGGUGAAAUGCGUAGAUAUUAGGAGGAACACCAGUGGCGAAGGCGGCUUUCUGGACUGUAACUGACGCUGAUGCACGAAAGCGUGGGGAGCAAA
rnacentral:rRNA from 1 species